AGAAGAAGAGGAAAGCAAGGGAGGAAGAAAGAUGGAAGAGAGCUUACCUCUUUGCAAGGCCUGCUAAGAAAGGAAAGGAAAACUACCGCUAAACUACGCAUUACUCCAAGUAAGACUACUACUCUCACUCUGCCCCCUUUCUGUAGAGCAGUAGCACAGUAUUUCUGAAUGGAUGCUAGAAGAAAAGUGGAAGUUCAAACCUCAAGACCAAGAAGAAAAGAAAGAAAGUCACUAAAGAAAAAUCUCUAUUGAAGUAGUUCAUAUGAGCAGAUUCCAUCCUGAAGAUCUGAUACAAACCUGGCCGUUCAUUUAAUCCCAUUUUUCGUCGGCUGAGAUUAGUUUUACUGGUACACAUUUACUACUUGGUAUAAUUUUCUUAAAUUAGUUCACAUUUGAUCUAACUGAUACUACUGCUGUUUUAGGAGGCAGUAAUUGAUGAUAAAUGAUUUGAUAUAAUAGAUAUUUUUUUUGUUAGUGGAGGAAAUUAAAUGGAGUUGCAUUA